rnacentral:rRNA from 1 species
UACGGAAGGCAGCAGUGGGGAAUAUUGCACAAUGGGCGAAAGCCUGAUGCAGCUAUGCCGCGUGUAUGAAGAAGGCCUUAGGGUUGUAAAGUACUUUCAUCGGGGAGGAAAAAACAAAACUAAUAAUUUUAUUUCUUGACGUUACCCGAAAAAGAAGCACCGGCUAACUCCGUGCCAGCAGCCGCGGUAAUACGGAGGGUGCUAGCGUUAAUCAGAAUUACUGGGCGUAAAGAGCACGUAGGUGGUUUUUUUAAAGUCAGAUGUGGAAAUCCCUGGGCCUAACCUAGGAACUGCAUUUUGAAACUGAAAUACUAGAGUAUCGUAGAGGGAGGUAGAAUUCUAGGUGUAGCGGUGAAAUGCGUAGAUAUCUGGAGGAAUACCUGUGGCGAAAGCGGCCUCCUAAACGAAUACUGACACUGAGGGUGCGAAAGCGUGGGGAGCGAAACAGGGAUUAGAUACC